rnacentral:lncRNA from 1 species
UCCCCAGAACCACUACCUCCCCUGCACUUUCAAGCUGCAUCAACUUUUCAAGCUUCCAAGUCUCUGAAGACUAUAGGGGACACUGGUGCUGGGAGCUGUCCAACAAAUCUAGUGCUGAAAUCAGGUGUGGACUGGAAGCUGUGGCCUAGGCACCAGAAGCAUCUGCUCAUUCUAAAAAGGAUUUAUGGUGGCCUACAAACAUAAUCUCCAAACCUCAGACCCUAUCAGCUUGUCCAGCCCAGAUGUCCACCUCUCCCCACUUUCUCACCAUAGGAGCCCUCCGCAGUUCUCUGAAGGGAUAGAACUCAAGACCUUGCUGUUUGCAAGGCUGGCGUUGGCACCACUGAGCUAAAUCCCCGGCACAUAGAAACAUUUUUAGACUGAAAAAUCCUGCCCUAUUUUCUCCAAAUUUCUCUCUCUCUCUCUCUUUCUUUCUCUCUCUCCCUCCCUCCCACCCCCCACAAAUUAUAUAAAAUAAGGUUAUUCUGGUACCAUGAUUUAAAGGCUCAAUCACAAGGUCAUGCUGCAGACAAAAUGACCCCAGAAUAUUUGUGGCUUCAACAGCAAUAGUUCAUCUCUCGUUGGAUCUAAUGCCCACCAUGGAUGGACUAUAGCUAUGCUCUGUCAUCUCGACAGUGGAGGACUCAGGGUAACCAGCAGUCUCUACCUGGAACCGCCAUCAUAGCAGAGAACAAGGUUAAUCAUUCUGGGUCUCAAGACUUCUGCUCAGAAAAGACAACUCUUUCUACUCUCCUCUCAUUGGUCAGUCAUCCUUCUGACCAUGCCCAGGGUCAACAGAAUGGGCAAGAAGAAUCAAAUACAGGAGUUAUGAGAGAUACUGACCUGAGGAAAACAGCCCCUCCUGCUGAUAAAUUUUACUCUAUACUUGAAAAACCAAGAGAUUCUCUUGGAAAGUUCAGUGACAUAGCCAACAAUGAUACGACUCACAAUAUCAAAAGGAAGAGUGAGUCUGAUUUCCAAGAAGUAUUUCAGAUGAUUGGUGCUGGAGAAAUUCACUAGAGGACUGGGACAGCUCUCCUUGCAAUGACUGCCCAACAUGCUGAUGCCAAGAAAGGUAGUACCACCACUGGGGCAUUUAUUAUACUGGAGUAUUUUAUUCCCUCAACCCCUCACAACUACAAAGCUAACUUUACCAGGAGACUAAACCCUUGCAGAAGACACCUGGGAUACUCAACCUUAAGACCUGCCCUGUGGAUUUUUAAUCUUCAUUUUAAUUCUUAACCAAAUAGAUCAAUCUCAAGCAUUUUGGAUGUGGGUUGAUGCAGCAGAACCACUGGAGCAGCAAAGAGAAUAAUCAUUACUGAUAAAACCAAGAAAAAUGGAAGAAAAAGCUAUUUUAGCUUAAAUUGCUUCCUGUAAAACAGUUUUGAAGGUAAAAGGUACUAUCUUCUUGUCAGUGUCAACAUUUCUCUCACUGGAUAAGUGAAAUUAUGUUUCUGUUGAUGACCAAAUCUCUCCAAGAAGGAGGUGACAUUUUGUUUGGCUUCUGGAGAUAAAAGAUUGAGUCUGAUAACUAUAUAGAUGUGUAAAGGACAUCUGCAUACAACACAAGUGAAUGUCACUAAAUUUGUAAAGCAGAUGAUUCAGGAAGCACCUACUGUCUGCAAAGGGUGUAUGUCCAGGAAUCUUAAACCCUGCCAAUAUUAGCUGAUUCAACAGACUAGAUGAAUAUUUUUCACUGAAUUUUUGCUGGUUGUUUGGGUGAUAAAUACAGCCACAUCCUCUAUGUUAUUGCCUUCUCUCUAUUAUCUCAUCACCUGAUUAUCAGCUACCAAUAUCUAGAGAGAUGCCUUCAACCUCUUCCUCAUAGCCUGCUGAGCCAACCUUUACUACAGACUAUCACCUGCUCAUCUGAGUUCAGUUCUAUCAUGAAACAAAAACAACUAAAAGAGAUGCUUGAUCCAGCAUCACGACUCAACAUUCCAGACCCCUGACCUGAGGGUGUCAGUCUUUGGGGUUUCCAGCCUCAGUCCCUCUCCAUCUGUGUGAUGGAUGACAUGCCAACUGAGCCUGCUGUGGUUAAUAUCUUCACCUCUAAGUGGAAAUCUAGAAGCCCUAUGGCUGUAGAAAGGAUCAAAAGGAAUUGCUCUGAGAAGUUAAAAGCAAUUCUCUCCUGUGGAAGACAGCCAAAGUUCCUUUAUUUCAUAGCUGCUGAGCUGAGGCUUACAUGGCUUGGGAUCCAGCAUGAGCACAUCCCCAGAAAACCAGAAGUCAGUUGUGAGAAAUGGAAACAGAAGCACUGUGUGGGGGGCACAGAUUGAUGUUUUUAUUCUCUAAGGUAUUAAGGGACAUCUGUAUCCCACCUCAUGGUACAGAUCUGUGCUGUUCUCAUAUCUUGUCACAGUCCAUUCCUCUCAAAGCAACAGCUAAUCUAAGUUGUGUGUACCUUUUGGAAAGUCGUAAAUGUGAAGCUCAAAAGCCAAAAUCCAAAGAGUGUGAGAAACAGAGAAAGGGUCAAAGAGGAGGAGAAAUAAAGGAAUAUUUAGAUGGAAUCAGUUAGCAAUCUUCAUGAAUCCAUCUUAAGAAAUAUAAACAAAUGUGAUAUUUAUCACCAAAUAGUCUGUCUUAGUUCACUUUCUUUUGCUAUAAAAAAAUAACUGAAGUUUGGUACUUCAUCUUUUGAAAUGAAGGUUUAUGUAGCUCGAUGUUUUGGAGACUGAAAGUCCACACUUGGGUAGCCACAUUGGUUUGGCCUCUCACGAGGGCCCCCAAUUGUGUUACAUGUAGAUGGGAUUAUGGCAGGACAAUGUAUGAGAGGAAGAGAUCACACUGUAUCAUAGAAAACAAGCGAGAUUCAGGAGACAGGCUCACUCCUUUAUAACAAGCCAUGCUCAAGGGAACUGCUACUCUUAGAGACCGGCACUAAUCUUUACUGAGGACAGUGCAUCCACUGACCUAACCAGUAAGCCUCACUCUUACAGGUCUCACUGUCCCUUAGUGCCACCACAUGGGGACCAAGCUUCCAACACAUGAACCUAUAGGGGACAGACCACAUCCAAAUCAUAGCACAGUCAUUCAAACAACAGAAAUUGAAGUAAAAAAGGUUUUUUUUCUAAAUUAUGUCAUUAUACAAAGCAUUAUAUUUUCUCUAAUUUUUUUCUCUAGUCUUCCUCUUCCACCCUCUUGUCAAAUAAAUCAAAUUUACAAUCUAAAAUAUGGCUGAUUAUAAUAUACGACAUUAUUUUUUAAACCAUCAAGAAGGAAAACUAAAGUUGCCAAUUAAACCCUGACUCAUACUUGUUUUCAGAGAUGAUAAAAACAUCCAUCAUAAAAAUCUCUGAAUUACAGCACAGACUCACAUGUGCACACACUUACACACACACACCCCACAUUAUUCAAUGAAUUUCUCUAGUAAAGUUAGAAAAAACUCUCAUUAAGAACCAGCUUUCCAAACAAGCUAGAUUUGUGUCAUCCCUAAAAAGGAGGAGGUAGAGAGUUUGGAGUUUAUUUUAUGGCAUAUAUUUGCUUCCUAAAGACAACUCAGAACAGCAUUGACAGAUAAUGGGCCACAUUUCAUAUCUGAGAAAUGUGUCUUAUUUUUAAAACUGAAAGCAGAGAAACUCAUUAGAUUUCUUUUCACUCUUGCCUCAGAAUAGCAGAGAAAUUUUCAUCAUACCUGUUCCUCUUUGUUUUCUUCAUUUUCUGUUUUCCCCUUUUCUUCACAUUCAUCUUUAAUCAUUUUCAUUCUCUCUUUCUCUCUCCCCCUCCACACAUUCCCAAAUCUCAAUUAAUUGUCUCCAUAGCUCAUUAAUGUGGCUUGCCUCAAAGGUCCUUAAUAAUCACUUAUUGUACAUGUUUAUUAUACUUGAUAAGAAAUGAUUUUAUUGAAGCUCAUUUUGUCUCCUCAUUUGUAAGUAAUAUCAUGUUUCCAUACCUGUAAUACUACCCCUAGCAAAGUAGUAUUUUUAGCAUUAAUAAAAGUUUGUUAUAACCAGGGAGAUCAUAAUGGGGACUCAUGAAGCCGAAAGGCUGGUAUAGUGACUCCAUCUCCAAAACAGCCUGGCACCUAACUAUAAUGAAGAUGACUUGCAUUUAUCUGGCAUAAUGUUCCUGAUACUUCACAGUGUCCAUUUUCUCUCCAACACCAAGGAUUUGUUUAUAUCAGCUUACUCAUUGCAUUGGCUAUUUGAUAGAGCCUAAGGUAGGUCACUCAUAUAAAAAGUUGAUGCCAAUUCACUAAAAUUUAAUUAUUCAUCAACUCAAUAUUUAUUUGUCCUAACAUUCUGGCCACUACUGAGGAUAAAUCAACAAUUAAGACACAGUCUCUGGCUUCAAGUUUAGCAAAAAAGGAAAACACAUGAGAAAUACACAUAGCCCAAACCCAGAAAUACUGGCACAUACCUGUAAUCCCAGCACUUGGGAGGGUGAGGCAGGAGAAUUACAAGUUUAAGGCCAGCCUGGACUACAUAUUGAGUCUCUGUCUCAAAUUAAAAGAAAAAUAAAACAAGAAGGGUUUCAAAAUGGCAGAUGGUGAGUGGUGGCAAUUCGGCCUCUCCAAAAUUUGGAAUGCAUACACUGGAAAAUAACAACUUGGGGAAGAAAAAUAAGAGAGAAGAGAAGUAGUUCCCCAGGAAUCUGGAAGGAAUGACAAAAAGUUAAAGAGCCAGACUGCAAUGCAGAGAAGGGAAUAACACAGUCCAGAUUUUCUCCCAGCCUGACUCUGCUGAAGUAAAGUGAGCACUGGCAGCAUUAAGGGGCUCCAGAGAGAAACAGUGGUAGAAUUGAGUUGGGGGUUGUUGUGAUCUGCAAGGGCAGUGCAAGAUUUUGCUCCAACAGCAGUUCCCUUACAGGCAACAGCUGGAGAAGGAUUCCAGAAAGAGCAUAGGUUUGGGUGCCAUUCUGAAGGACUGUUUGAAUCUGGGACACAGAACAACUUCAGGACACCUUCAUAUCAGGGUUCCCAGUGUUACCUUCCCACAGUGACUGGGUAAGAGACAGCCACAGGAGACAGGUGCAGACAUGGAGU